rnacentral:rRNA from 1 species
GUAGGUGGCAAGCGUUGUCCGGAAUUAUUGGGCGUAAAGCGCGCGCAGGCGGUUCUUUAAGUCUGAUGUGAAAGCCCACGGGCUCAACCGUGGAGGGUCAUUGGAAACUGGAGAACUUGAGUACAGAAGAGGAAAGCGGAAUUCCACGUGUAGCGGUGAAAUGCGUAGAGAUGUGGAGGAACACCAGUGGCGAAGGCGGCUUUCUGGUCUGUAACUGACGCUGAGGCGCGAAAGCGUGGGGAGCAAACAGGAUUAGAUACCCUGGUAGUCCACGCCGUAAACGAUGAGUGCUAAGUGCUAGGGGGUUUCCGCCCCUUAGUGCUGCAGCUAACGCAUUAAGCACUCCGCCUGGGGAGUACGGCCGCAAGGCUG